rnacentral:misc_RNA from 1 species
AGAGAGGGCUGAUCUCAGAAAUCAUAUCCCGUUUCGAGAGGAAAGGGUUUAAACUUGUAGGCAUAAAAGUUAUUGUCCCUUCAAAGGAAUUUGCUGAGAAGCAUUAUCACGAUCUGAAGGAAAGACCCUUCUUUAAUGGCCUCUGUGAAUUUCUUAGCUCCGGCCCCGUCAUUGCAAUGGUUUGGGAAGGCGAGGGAGUGAUCA